GCCGGGUGCGGUGGCGCGCGCCUGUAAUCCAAGUUACCGGGAGGCUGAGGCUGGCGGAUCGUUUGAGCUCAGGAGUUCUGAGCUGCAGCGGACUAUGCCGAUCGGGUGUCCGCACUAAGUUCGGCAUCGAUAUGGUGCUCCUGGGGGAGCCCGGGACCACCAGGUCGUCUAAGGAGGGGUGCACCGGCCCAGGCCGGAGACGGAGCAGGCCAAAUCCCCCGUGCCGCUCAGUAGUGGGAUCGCGCCUGUGAAUAGACGCUGUAGUGCAGCCUGAGUAAUACAGCGGGACCCAGUCUUUU
rnacentral:SRP_RNA from 1 species